rnacentral:lncRNA from 1 species
AGAUGGCGCAGCAGGUGACAACUUCACUUUGCAAGUUCUCAUUUCUGUGUUUCUCAUAGAGCUGGACAAGUGGAUCUUAGGCUAUUCUCUAUUUUGGUCAAUUAUAGUAGUAGUUGUGUAACAGUGUCUAAUUUUCAUCCAUGUCCUAAUGUUAUUCCACAAUGUUUAUCAUGGAACUCUUUCUGCUAUGUAAUCUCCAAUUCUGUUUUACCUACAGGUUUGGCUGAUUUACACUUGAUUCCUAAAAAAAGGUGUACUUCUUUGAGUGGGGUGAAUUCGUAUAUAUUUUUUAGCUGUACAAGUAGGAUAAGACCCCACUGCUAUUUUUAUGAAAAGCUAGCCAACACUAUUUUUUUGUGAAGUGUACAUGAGGAAUGUAGGUGAAAUCAUAUUUGAUGCAUAUUCCCUUUGUUCUGACUUCUGUUUGAUACAUAGUUUAUUUUAGAAAAUAUAUAGGAUAUAUCCAAUAGGGCAAGUUUAUGGUUACAUUUCUCUUUACGAUGCUUAUAUGAAGAAUGUAGAUAAAAAUAUAUUUCACAUGCCAUUUCAGUUUCUAAAAUUUCACUCAAACUUAACAAUUUGCAUAUAUUUGCUUUUUCUUCUGUUUAUAUUCCACAAUGAUAAGGUUUUCUUAUUUCAAAAUUAGUAUUAAGAAAAUUGUGUUCUUCCUAGAGCACCGGCAGCAACCACAUCAUGAAAGGGUCGAGGGAAGAUUAUCUGAUAUGUGUCACUGAAAGCGAAGGUAAAAUUCCAAUACAGCACCUUCAUAUUACCUGCCAAUUCACAAGUGCAUGUUCUGUAUCAAAAUUAACUGUUCCCUCUUCGUUACAUUGGUAUAUGUUCUGAAUGGGUUGAUGAAUAUCUUGGUAUAUGUAGUUUCAAAGCUUCAUUACAUUGUAGCAGGGAAAAUUGGUAUGAAGAUUGUGCAGCACCAUGCCUUAGCCAGCCCCUUAAUUUGCUAGAACAGAGGGCUAAUCUUCUUACUCAUUUGCCGCCUAAUUUAUAUGGUUCUGCUAUGAACCAUUCCUACUUUGGCAAUAAAUUGCAUCACUUUAUGCCAUAGAAGAACCAUAUAAAUCAGUAUCCGGCAACGGUGACGCGGGGCCAGGCACGAGGAGGGGUGGUGAGCCACCGGCGGCUGGGUUCCCCCCAAUCGCCCAGGUUGGGCGACACCUAAUUUAUAUGGUACAUAUUGAACAAAGGGCCCAAAUAUGUACAAGUGGAUAUGAUCGUUAGAUUAUUUGAUUUGGACAUUGUAGUAGCUACCAAUAGUACAGUUUACUUCUUUAUCCUCCUAUUGCCACUAACUAAAUCUCUCUGCUUUUUUCCUUUUGCUCAUGGCCCUAUGAAAG